GACGAACGCUGGCGGCGUGCCUAAUACAUGCAAGUCGAACGCAUUUUCUUUCACCGUAGCUUGCUACACCGAAAGAAAAUGAGUGGCGAACGGGUGAGUAACACGUGGGUAACCUGCCCAUCAGCGGGGGAUAACACUUGGAAACAGGUGCUAAUACCGCAUAAUUCCAUUUACCGCAUGGUAGAUGGAUGAAAGGCGCUUUUGCGUCACUGAUGGAUGGACCCGCGGUGCAUUAGCUAGUUGGUGGGGUAACGGCCUACCAAGGCUGCGAUGCAUAGCCGACCUGAGAGGGUGAUCGGCCACACUGGGACUGAGACACGGCCCAGACUCCUACGGGAGGCAGCAGUAGGGAAUCUUCGGCAAUGGACACAAGUCUGACCGAGAAACGCCGCGUGAGUGAAGAAGGUUUUCGGAUCGUAAAACUCUGUUGUUAGAGAAGAACAAGGAUGAGAGUGGAAAGUUCAUCCCUUGACGGUAUCUAACCAGAAAGCCACGGCUAACUACGUG
rnacentral:rRNA from 1 species